rnacentral:lncRNA from 1 species
GAGUGCGAGAGUUAUUUGAGCAAGAGCCACCCCUCCGCCACGGAAAACUCGUGGAGAGCUAAUGAAAGAUAUUGAUGCUGAUUAUUAUGGAUACAGAGAUGAUGAUGAUGGCCUCCUCCUCCCAGCUGAGAUGACUGAAGAAAAAAAGGCCAUUGCCAAAGCUAUAGCUGAUUGGAAAAAUCGAGUAGAAUCAAUGGAAGUUGGCGAGGAAAGUGAGACAGAAGAGGUUGAGAAAAGCCGUUUGCCAGCAGAAAGCGGUGAUUCUAGUGAGAAUGAAGGUGAAGAGGAUGCAGGGCUUCAAAACGAGCUCAGUGGAUCUAAAUUUAUUGCUCAUGUUCCGGUUCCAUCUCAAAACAAAUAGAACAAGCACUCAUCGAAAGGAAAAAGCAGGAGCUUCUGAACAGAUAUGCCAGUGAAGCUCUCGUGAAAGAAGAAGAAAGUGCAAAAGAACUACUCGGUAUCAAUGAAACUAAAAACAGUUGAUCUGUUAUUCCUUUCAUUCACUAAAGCAUCGUUCUAACUUUGUAAGCAACUUUAAAAAUCGGUUAUAGUACAUUUUGAGAACAAAGCGGAUAUCAGAGCAAACAGUUUAAUUGUUGUCUUUUCCGGGUUCCAUUGAGGAAUAUUUAAAACAUUACAUAUAAUAUAGAAAGAGAAUAAUUGACUUUCUUGCAAAUAAUAAUAACAUUCAUAAGUAAUGCAAAUAUUUGAGUCAUCUUGAAGCUAAGUUCAUUUUACUGAUGAGCCGGCAUUCCAUACGAAUACUAGCGUUAAGGGACUCGUCAGGAAACUGGACUGUGCUCCUUCUGCUUCAAAAUGCCUCAUUGAUGAAUCAUAUGAAUAGUACAGGUAAUUAAAAUUAAGUGUUAACUGUUUUAGCAUAUGAAUUGGGCGCUGCCGCAUGAAUUUGGUGAAAGUUUAAAAGAAUAAGUCGCCACUAGUGUAAUAUAUGAAGAUACAGAGAAACUUAACCAUGGCAGGAAAUUUAUUCAUGAGCAAUAUGCCUGCAAAAUUCUGGGCUGUUAAGCACCAAUAUUAUGAAAAUUUAACAUACUUUGGGUGAAGUAACGUACCGUCUCAACCUCAAGCCUACCUAUCCAUGCAAAAUAAACCUCUCUUAUCUUAACAAUAGGACUGAGCAUGUGUUUUUUUUGCUGGUGUAUUUUGCAUUUUUUACUAUAAUUUACACCACGCAAAGUAAAAAAACUAACUUCUAGCUUCUUAUUUGUCCCGUCAAGAUUUUACCACAACCCUAGUACAGAAAGGAAUUUUCUCCCAAGAAUUGGAUUCUUUUUACUUUAUUUUUGUAUGUAAAAUGCUGCUACUGUCUGUGAGUGUUACAAACAAAUACGAUAAACAGUUUAGUUUGCUGGCUAUCGAUGACUAAUUGUACCUAUUCAGUUUUAAAUUUAUUUCCAGAAUCAAAUUCAAAAUAGGGAUGAUUACAUGUAGAAACUACUGCCCCCAGGUUGAAUUAAAUUGUAUACAGGGCUUCUCUCAAAAAUAAUUUUUUUUAGUAGUAGGAUAGGCAUUGUCAAUUCUAUCCGGAAAAAAUGGUCUAAUAUCAUGCACAUAUUAAUUCCUUGUAUGUUUUCAUUUUGUACAGAAUUUAGGCUUAUUCAUUCAACUGUGAUGAUGUAAAAUGUUUUAAUUUCAUGAGGUUUUCAUGUAUGUAGUUAUAUCGUACCUCAAUACAAGUUCUUUUUUUUGUGUAAAAAACCUAACAGUUUUGUUUAAUUGAUAGCCCGCCCGGCAAAACGUGUGCAAAAACGUUGAAGAAACAUUGUGACAACGUCCUGUCCUCAAGUAACGUUGCUACAACCCUGUGACGACGUUUUUUCACACGUUUUGCCGGGCGGGAGUCCAUGUAGCAUCUGCUGGAAUCAAUCUUGCCCCAAGAACUUAUAUUGGUUGCCAGAACAACAAAGUCACAAACUAGACCAAUAAUGAGAUGCCAUAGGCCGCUACUGAAUAAUCUUGAAAAUCCGACACUUAAUUCAUUGAACAACUGAAUUUUUGCAGGAGGCUGAGAAAUGCAUAAAAAGUGGAAUGUUAACAUGAAAGAUGCGGUUCAUGAUUGCUCCUCAGAGCGUUCGCUUUCAGAAUCCAAAUUACACCAGGAAGUUGAAAGUUUGUCCUCUCCUAUGCUUGUUUGGUUUUUUCUCUAUUGCUUUCGGCAGUUUUCAAGAAAAGAAAUUGGUAAGUUGACCUACACAGAGCAGAUAAAACCAGGGAAGUUUUUAAAAAAUGACGU